rnacentral:rRNA from 1 species
AUAGCCUACGGGACGCAGCAGUGAGGAAUAUUGGUCAAUGGACGAAAGUCUGAACCAGCCAUGCCGCGUGCAGGAAGACGGCUCUAUGAGUUGUAAACUGCCUUUGUACAAGGGUAAACCUGAAUACGUGUAUUCAGCUGAAAGUACUGUACGAAUAAGGAUCGGCUAACUCCGUGCCAGCAGCCGCGGUAAUACGGAGGAUCCAAGCGUUAUCCGGAUUUAUUGGGUUUAAAGGGUGCGUAGGCGGAUUGAUAAGUUAGAGGUGAAAUGUCCGGGCUCAACUCGGGAACUGCCGCUAAUACUGU